AGUGAACGCUGGCGGUAGGCCUAACACAUGCCAGUCGAACGGCAGCACAGUAAGAGCUUGCUCUUACGGGUGGCGAGUGGCGGACGGGUGAGGAAUACAUCGGAAUCUACUUUUUCGUGGGGGAUAACGUAGGGAAACUUACUCUAAUACCGCAUACGACCUACGGGUGAAAGCAGGGGAUCUUCGGACCUUGCGCGAUUGAAUGAGCCGAUGUCGGAUUAGCUAGUUGGCGGGGUAAAGGCCCACCAAGGCGACGAUCCGUAGCUGGUCUGAGAGGAUGGUAGGCCACACUGGAACUGGGACACGGUCCAGACUCCUACGGGAGGCAGCAGUGGGGAAUAUUGGACAAUGGGGGCAAGCCUGAUCCAGCCAUACCGCGUGGGUGAAGAAGGCCUUCGGGUUGGAAAGCCCUUUUGUUGGGAAAGAAAAGCAGCAGGUUAAUACCCCGCUGUUCUGACGGUACCCAAAGAAUAAGCACCGGCUAACUUCGUG
rnacentral:rRNA from 1 species